ensembl:lncRNA LINC01968 long intergenic non-protein coding RNA 1968
AAGAGGCAAAGAUCACUCGGGACCACCUUGUAUAUUGGCUACCACAGAACCCAACACAAGCAGUUGUGAGUGAGGAAUGGAUGCCAUUGUUAGUGGCUUCCGUUGUGCUCAGUGGAAACACGCAUCUACAGGUAGAAUGUAGAGGAACAGCCCAAUUCAGCUGUCUUGUGGAUUUCAGGCUGUGGUCUCUCUGCCUCUCUCUGGAACACAGGAGGAACUUUGCUACUGCCUUGACCAACAGAAUAUGGGGGAAGCGACAUUGUGUGAAUUACAAGAUGGAGUAUCACUCUGUCACCCCGGCUGGAGUGCAGUGGCGCGAUCUCGGCUCACCGCAAGCUCCACCUCCCGGGUUCUAUUGAUUCUCCUGCCUCAGCCUCCUGAAUAGCUGGGGCUACAGGUACAUCUUCCAUAAAGACCGCGCCCUGAGCUCACCAUUCCUCUUUCUGAGAGAGCUGAGGCAGUUCUUCCUUCAGGGGAGCAACCAUUGUUCUAGGCUCAAAGCAAGUCUGAGAGAGACGCACACGUGUGGGAUUCUAGGACCUUGACCCUCCACCGCAAACAGAGGCACUCACCUCUGCAUUCUGGGAAACGGCAGUCUGUGUGUCAGCCAGAUAAACACUUAAGUUCAGGGGCAUCUGACAAACAGCUGUCCCCACCGACCUUGUUUUGUUGGUCCCAUUUUCACAACUGUUGAUGUGGCUUCCUGAGUUCCUGACCACUUGAAUAAACAACCAAGAGCAGCAGCCUCGACUCCCUGCAGGACCCUGCGCAGGCCGCGCUGGGCAGCUGUCCAUCAGCACCCCUGUGCACACAGAGAGCAGGCAGCAGACCAGCGCCCUGGACGGCUGGUACCGACGCCCUCCAUCUGUCCGUCUGUCCCCAGGGCUGGGUGGACAGGGAAAUCUCUUUACAGUGCAGACAGCGGAGCCUGGUGUUGAGACCAACUGACCUGAUCUUGAAAGGACUGCAUUCUCCUGCCACUGUCUGGCAGAUUCCAGCUUGGGGCCUGUUUUCUGGAGCUAGCUGUCACAUGAACCCCAGCCUGCUGGCUGGGAGAUCCAGCCAGGUCAGUUUUAUGGCCAAGAGAGCAACCAGUUACUAUCUCGAGCUGGAGAAAAUGGAUUAUCUUUAGUCCUUCUGUGCAAAACUAAAACCAAAA